CAUCCUACGGGAGGCAGCAGUGGGGAAUAUUGCACAAUGGGCGCAAGCCUGAUGCAGCCAUGCCGCGUGUAUGAAGAAGGCCUUCGGGUUGUAAAGUACUUUCAGCAGUGAGGAAGGUGGGUAUGUUAAUAGCAUACUCAUUUGACGUUAGCUGCAGAAGAAGCACCGGCUAACUCCGUGCCAGCAGCCGCGGUAAUACGGAGGGUGCGAGCGUUAAUCGGAAUUACUGGGCGUAAAGCGCAUGCAGGUGGUUUGUUAAGUCAGAUGUGAAAGCCCGGGGCUCAACCUCGGAAUUGCAUUUGAAACUGGCAAACUAGAGUACUGUAGAGGGGGUAGAAUUUCAGGUGUAGCGGUGAAAUGCGUAGAGAUCUGAAGGAAUACCGGUGGCGAAGGCGGCCCCCUGGACAGAUACUGACACUCAGAUGCGAAAGCGUGGGGAGCAAACAGGAUUGGAUACCCUGGUAG
rnacentral:rRNA from 1 species